rnacentral:rRNA from 1 species
AUUGAACGCUGGCGGCAUGCUUUACACAUGCAAGUCGAACGGUAACAGGGUGCUUGCACCGCUGACGAGUGGCGAACGGGUGAGUAAUGCGUCGGAACGUGCCGAGUAGUGGGGGAUAACGCAGCGAAAGUUGUGCUAAUACCGCAUACGUACUGAGGUAGAAAGUGGGGGACCUUCGGGCCUCACGCUAUUCGAGCGGCCGACGUCUGAUUAGCUAGUAGGUGAGGUAAAGGCUCACCUAGGCGACGAUCAGUAGCGGGUCUGAGAGGAUGAUCCGCCACACUGGGACUGAGACACGGCCCAGAAGCCUACGGGAGGCAGCAGUGGGGAAUUUUGGACAAUGGGCGAAAGCCUGAUCCAGCCAUGCCGCGUGUCUGAAGAAGGCCUUCGGGUUGUAAAGGACUUUUGUCAGGGAGGAAAUCCCUAGUGCUAAUAACACUGGGGGAUGACAGUACCUGAAGAAUAAGCACCGGCUAACUACGUGCCAGCAGCCGCAGUAA